UACGUAGGGUGCGAGCGUUUGUCCGGAAUUAUUGGGCGUAAAAGGGCUCGUAGGCGGUUUUGUCGCGUCGGGGAGUGAAAAACCUCGGGGCUUAACUCGGGGGCUUGCUUUCGAUACGGGCAGACUGGAGGUAUGCAGGGGGAGAACGGAAUUCCUGGUGUAGCGGUGAAAUGCGCAGAUAUCAGGAGGAACACCGGUGGCGAAGGCGGCCAUCUGGACCGCAACUGACGCUGAGGCGCGAAAGCGUGGGGGAGCAAACAGG
rnacentral:rRNA from 1 species